GCGUGCAGUUCCGUAGGAAGUUCUUUUUUAUAAGGGGGUGGCGAGGGCCGAAGGCCCGAGGAAAUUUUUUAAUUUAGAGUCUCUGAAAUGCCAUUUCGUGAACUUUGGGGGAAGUUUUGACAGAAUUCUGAUGGUCAGAAAACAGAGUUUUAGCACGUCGAAAUUUACAAUUAAUAUUAUUUGCUUACAAUUUAGAAGAACUAAAUGCGCGAAGGCGUAUAUGGG